GAUGAACGCUGGCGGCGUGCCUAAUACAUGCCAGUCGAGCGAACAGACGAGGAGCUUGCUCCUCUGACGUUAGCGGCGGACGGGUGAGUAACACGUGGAUAACCUACCUAUAAGACUGGGAUAACUUCGGGAAACCGGAGCUAAUACCGGAUAAUAUAUUGAACCGCAUGGUUCAAUAGUGAAAGACGGUUUUGCUGUCACUUAUAGAUGGAUCCGCGCCGCAUUAGCUAGUUGGUAAGGUAACGGCUUACCAAGGCAACGAUGCGUAGCCGACCUGAGAGGGUGAUCGGCCACACGGGAACUGAGACACGGUCCAGACUCCGACGGGAGGCAGCAGUAGGGAAUCUUCCGCAAUGGGCGAAAGCCUGACGGAGCAACGCCGCGUGAUUGAUGAAGGUCUUCGGAUCGUAAAACUCUGUUAUUAGGGAAGAACAAAUGUGUAAGUAACUAUGCACGUCUUGACGGUACCUAAUCAGAAAGCCACGGCUAACUACGUG
rnacentral:rRNA from 1 species